rnacentral:lncRNA from 1 species
GAGCAGGACAAAGCAAAAACUUUCCACAGGGUUUUGUUUUUGUUUUUGUUUUUUUUUUUUACUCCUAAUCUAGGCAGUUGUUCCUUAAGGGAAAGGAUAUUUAGAAACAGCUCUCCCAGCCAGGACUUUAGGGUCCUGUUGCUAAGAUUUAAAACAGCUGUUUUCUAUCUAACUAUCAGAGUCACACAGCUGGGAAGUAUCUGAGGUCCGAUUUGAACCUAGGACCUUCUGUCUCUAGGCCUGGCUCUCAAUCCACUGAGCCCCCCAGCUGCCCCUUAAGAUUAAAGGGAAGAAAAAGAAAAACUGCUGAUUACAAUUUAACUUAAGGAGAAAAGAGAAGAGAGAAGUUUUUUAUACUCACUUGUUCUAGCAGCUGUGUCUUUAAGCCAAGUUAGCUGUUAAAAAGGACUGAGUGGUGAGAAAGUAGAGUAAAAAGGCAAGAAAAUUCAGAAAGUUUAUUGAGGGAAUUUGUUAGACUUCUGUGGUCAGCCACACUGAAAUCUUCAUGCAUGCAGAAUUUAUCAAUAUUCUUUUUCAUAUCUAUAAGUAUGAAUUACAAGUGAUUUCCUUCACGGAUGGGGUUCUAAGAGAAGGGAAGAGUUUGGAAAUAGUUUUGGUUCUGACUGACAGGAGGAAACUGAAAGAAUUCUUCUAAUGUCUCUUAUAAUUAGUGAAUUGCCUUGGUUUCUUGAUCAUGAUGAGAAACAUCAGGAUGAAGCUGAAAAAAGAAUGAUGCAUGCCCUGGAAAUGACUCAAAUGUUCCUGCAUAAGAACUCCUCAAACUAGACUCCAGAAGUCACAGAGAUAUGGAGUUGGCUUUGGGACCUUCUGAAACAUCCUACUUAAGUUUCUGAUUACCAAGAUGUCACUGAACCUGUUUCUGGCACUCUCCCUCUUGUGUCUAGAACACACCACCCGUACAUAACAUGCCGUGAUCCCUUCCUGGAUCAGCCCAUUACCCACCUAUCACCUGGCUCCUUUUGUUUGGAAAUCAUAAAAUAGCAUUUUUGCUGUUUCAAGCUAAGCUUUGUAGCAACAACCUAAACUGUUUUAUACACAUGUUGUCUUUGCUUAAUAAAUUUUUAAUAAAAAAUAUUCUUGUUAUACA